CAUGGUGGUGGGCACCUGUAAUUGUAAUCCCAGCUACUCGGAGGCUGAGGCUGAAAUCACUCCACUGCACUCCAACCUGGGUGACUGAGCGAGACUGUCUCAAAAACAGAGUGGCUGCCUGGCAAAUGCUUUUCCACAGGUGUCUCUGUCACCAAUCACACUCUCCCAAUUACAUACGUGAACUACUCUUGGACUUUGUCAGCAGGCUGACACUGCAAAUUGCUUUGGGCUCACCAGGCACAGUCCUGCAGGCUCUGGGACAGCACCAGCAGCCUCCUGCUCACACUGGGCUUGGACCUCUGCGUGAGGGGCUGCUCCAAGGCUGCAGGUGAGGGUGUGAUAGAAGUUGACACAAGCUUCUGCAUGUACCAGAGUGAAAAAUAAAUGAUUUUAUUGUAGGGCCAAUGAUAGGUAUUCUCAAGGGCAUGAAAUGGCAGAUCUCUUGACUGAAGCAGAGAAGGCACACUGCCAAGACCCCCCAUGUGUGUCAAACACCGUGCACCAAUCAGGUUUUUAGAAGGGAAGUGGGAGAGGAAAAUUGAUUACUCCUUAGCAGAACUGAACUGCAAAAUAGGUUAAAUUCUUUGAAAAGUGA